GAGUUUGAUCUGGCUCAUGACGAACGCUGGCGGCGUGCCUAAUACGUGCAAGUCGAACGCUUCUUUCCUCCCGAGUGCUUGCACUCAAUUGGAAAGAGGAGUGGCGGACGGGUGAGUAACACAGUGGGUAACCUACCCAUCAGAGGGGGAUAACACUUGGAAACAGGUGCUAAUACCGCAUAACAGUUUAUGCCGCAUGGCAUAAGAGUGAAAGGCGCUUUCGGGUGUCGCUGAUGGAUGGACCCGCGGUGCAUUAGCUAGUUGGUGAGGUAACGGCUCACCAAGGCCACGAUGCAUAGCCGACCUGAGAGGGUGAUCGGCCACACUGGGACUGAGACACGGCCCAGACUCCUACGGGAGGCAGCAGUAGGGAAUCUUCGGCAAUGGACGAAAGUCUGACCGAGCAACGCCGCGUGAGUGAAGAAGGUUUUCGGAUCGUAAAACUCUGUUGUUAGAGAAGAACAAGGACGUUAGUAACUGAACGUCCUCUGACGGUAUCUAACCAGAAAGCCACGGCUAACUACGUGCCAGCAGCCGCGGUAAUACGUAGGUGGCAAGCGUUGUCCGGAUUUAUUGGGCGUAAAGCGAGCGCAGGCGGUUUCUUAAGUCUGAUGUGAAAGCCCCCGGCUCAACCGGGGAGGGUCAUUGGAAACUGGGAGACUUGAGUGCAGAAGAGGAGAGUGGAAUUCCCAUGUGUAGCGGUGAAAUGCGUACAUAUAUGGAGGAACACCAGUGGCCGAAGGCGGCUCUCUGGUCUGUAACUGACGCUGAGGCUCGAAAGCGUGGGGGAGCAAACAGGAUUAGAUACCCUGGUAGUCCACGCCGUAAAACGAUGAGUGCUAAGUGUUGGAGGGUUUCCGCCCUUCAGUGCUGCAGCAAACGCAUUAAGCACUCCGCCUGGGGAGUACGACCGCAAGGUUGAAACUCAAAGGAAUUGACGGGGGCCCGCACAAGCGGUGGAGCAUGUGGUUUAAUUCGAAGCAACGCGAAGAACCUUACCAGGUCUUGACAUCCUUUGACCACUCUAGAGAUAGAGCUUUCCCUUCGGGGACAAAGUGACAGGUGGUGCAUGGUUGUCGUCAGCUCGUGUCGUGAGAUGUUGGGUUAAGUCCCGCAACGAGCGCAACCCUUAUUGUUAGUUGCCAUCAUUUAGUUGGGCACUCUAGCGAGACUGCCGGUGACAAACCGGAGGAAGGUGGGGAUGACGUCAAAUCAUCAUGCCCCUUAUGACCUGGGCUACACACGUGCUACAAUGGGAAGUACAACGAGUCGCUAGACCGCGAGGUCAUGCAAAUCUCUUAAAGCUUCUCUCAGUUCGGAUUGCAGGCUGCAACUCGCCUGCAUGAAGCCGGAAUCGCAAGUAAUCGCGGAUCAGCACGCCGCGGUGAAUACGUUCCCGGGCCUUGUACACACCGCCCGUCACACCACGAGAGUUUGUAACACCCGAAGUCGGUGAGGUAACCUUUUUGGAGCCAGCCGCCUAAGGUGGGAUAGAUGAUUGGGGUGAAGUC
rnacentral:rRNA from 1 species